rnacentral:lncRNA from 1 species
GUCGGGCGCGCUUUGGCUCUUGUCUCUUGAUAAGUAAUUGUAGUAUCUGCCCUCUUCUAAAUUCUAAUUGAAUGGUCCAAGCCAACAAACCUGGAUCUUGCAAAUCUUUCAAGGCCAUAAUGUGCCUGUGGGUUGUGGCUAAAUUACAUUCUCCCUCCGUUCACAAAUAUAAGGUGUUUUGGAUAUUUCUGUUAGACUUAUAAUAUAAGUCAUGUAAACCCCUUUGUAUUUAUCCCGUUGUAUAAGGGGUUUCCUGCAUAUGUACCACACCUGUACAUGUAUAUAUAUCGGCCUAUGGCCUCAUGGGAAUACAAGUUGCUUAUUCUUAACAUGGUAUUAGAGCUAGGUCAAUUUUUUGCACGCUGCAACUCGUGCUAUUGAUCCGUCCCGAUCGCGUCCGGCUCGUCUUCCUCCCGCUCGAAGCCGCCGUCGCCGUGGCUGCUCCCGUUCGAAGUCAGCCGCCGCCCUCCCGUUCCCGCAGCUGCUGACGCCGCCGAAGCUCCCUCCCGCCGAAGCUCCCUCCCGCUCUCCCGCCGAAGCUCCCUCCCGCCGACGCUCCCUCCCGCUCGCAGUCGGCCGUCGCCCUCCCCGUGCUCGGCCACCGCGGGACUUCGUGCUCUCCCUCGCGCGCCCCCGCACCGUGCUCUCUCUGCCCAGAUCUGCCAGGAGCCUCUCACGCCAGGCGCCGUCGUUCGCCCCUCCCGCCCGGACUCGUGGUCACGCAUCCACUUCCGGCGGCCGCCGUUCGCGGUGGUCUCCCGUGGUCUUCCGCCUGCCGUCUGAUUACGGGUCUCUCCUAAAAAAAAUUGUCUGCUGCAUCGGGUUAUGUCUCUGUCCCUCGCUGUCCGGUGAUCUUCGAUGGUACUAACUACACCGAGUUCGCUGGCUUCAUGCGCAUUCACAUGCGUGGCAUCCGUCUCUGGGGUGUUCUUUCUGGCGAGGUCUGCUGUCCGCCACGUACGGUUCCUCCGGUGGCCCCUACUCCGCCGACUCCACUGGUUCUUCCUACGGAUGCUAAUCAGGCCGCCAAGGAUGCGGCUAAGCUUGCUGAUGAGGCUGCUGAUCGUGCCUAUGAUGAGAGGGCUUUGGCUUAUGAGGAGGCUCUUCAGACGUAUCAUGGUGCUUUGUCUGUUUACACUCAGUGGCUUGAUGAUGAUGCUCGUGCUGCAGCUGUUCUCACUGCUAGUGUUCUGCCUCAGUUUGCUUCUGAGUUUCUGGGUCUUCCUACUGUCUUCCAGAUGUGGACCUGCCUUCGUCAGCGCUAUGAGCCCUCUGGUGAUGCCUUAUAUCUUUCUGUGGUUCGUCAGGAGCAUGCUCUUCAGCAGGGUGACUCUACUGUUGAUGACUUUUAUGCCCAGAGUUCUGCUAUCUGGCGCCAGCUUGAUUCUCUCCGCAGUGCUGGUUGUCGUACUUGCCCCUGCUGCCAGGCUGUCCAAGCCGAUUUGGAGUUUCAUCGCGUCUACGAGUUCCUGUCUCGGCUCCGUAAGGAGUUUGAGCCCCGGCGUGCUCAGUUGUUUGCUCGUGGCCGUAUUUCUCUCAUGGAGGCGCUUUCAGAGAUUCGUGCUGAGGAGACUCGCCUACGUGGUGCUGGUUUGCUGGAGGUUCCCUCUGUGCUCGCUACUCGGGUUUCUUCCACUCCACCUGCUGCACAGCCCCAUUCUCGCUCGAGUGCUCCGCCGCUCUUGCCCACUCCUUCUGGAGGCUCAGGUCGGCCCCGUUCACAUUGUGACUACUGCAACAAUGAUGGUCAUAUUGAGUCCCAGUGCUACACAAAGCGGAAACACCUGCGCAAGGCGCGAUCAUCCUCCUCCGGGACUUCGUCAUCUCCCUCGCCAGCUUCAGCCAUUGCUUUGACUGAGCAGGAUAUUCUGAGACUUAAGCGUCUGCUCGCGGCUUCAGGUUCUUCCUCGACGGGUACUGCUGGUUCUGUGACUGAUGCUUCCCGCACUGAGCACCCGCCCUCUACACAGUCAGGUACAUCCCCAUGGGUUCUGGAUUCUGGAGCUUCUUUUCAUAUGUCUUCUCAUUCUUCCGCUUUGUCUUCUCUUCGCUCGCUGGAUUCUCCUGUUCAUGUCUUCACUGCUGAUGGUACUCCACUUUCUGUUGCUAGUAGAGGCCAUCUUUCCACUCCUUAUUCUGUUCCUGAUGUUGCUCAUGUUCCUCGACUUACCAUGAAUCUGUUUUCUGCCGGUCAACUUACUGAUUCUGGUUGUCGUGUCAUCCUUGAUGUUGACUCUUGUUCUGUCCAAGAUCGUCGCACGCACACUCUGGUUGGGGCUGGCCCUCGCCGCCGUGAUUCUCAGGGUCUUUGGGAGUUGGACUGGCUUCAUGUUCCUUCCGCUGCCACCACCAUCGCCAGUCCCUCCGCUGUUGUCGCCUCUGUUACUGGUUCCUUCAAGCAGUGGCAUCAUCGACUUGGUCAUCUGUGUGGUUCUCGGUUAUCGUCUUUAGUUCGUCGAGGUCUUCUGGGGUCUGUCUCAGGAGAUGUCUCUUUAGAGUGUCAGGGUUGUCGUCUUGGCAAGCAGAUUCAGUUACCAUAUUCCCAUAGUGAGUCAGUGUCUAAGCGUCCUUUCGAUUUAGUCCAUUCUGAUGUAUGGGGUCCGGCUCCUUUCGCUUCGAAAGGUGGUCAUAAAUACUAUAUUAUUUUCAUCGAUGAUUUUUCUCGUUACACAUGGCUUUAUUUCAUGACUUCACGUAGUGAGGUGUUGUCUAUUUACAAGCGUUUUGCUGCCAUGGUUCAUACUCAGUUCUCUUCACCCAUUCGUGUUUUUCGUGCUGACUCCGCUGGUGAGUAUAUCUCUAAGAUGUUGCGUGGUGUCCUUGCUGAGCAGGGUACUCUUGCCCAGUUCUCUUGUCCUGGUGCUCAUGCUCAGAAUGGCGUGUCUGAGCGCAAGCAUCGUCACCUUCUUGAGACGGCUCGUGCCAUGAUGAUCGCCGCCUCUCUUCCGCCUCAUUUUUGGGCCGAGGCUAUCUCCACUUCCGUCUAUCUCAUCAACCUUCAGCCAUCUGCUGCUUUGCAGGGUGGUGUUCCUUUUGAGCGUCUGUUUGAUCGUCCUCCCGAUUAUUCGAUGCUUCGCUUGUUUGGUUGUGUUUGCUAUGUUCUUCUUGCCCCUCGCGAACGCACCAAACUGACCGCUCAGUCUGUUGAGUGUGUCUUCUUAGGCUACAGUGAUGAGCAUAAGGGCUAUCGUUGUUGGGAUCCUGUCGGUCGUCGGAUGCGUAUCUCUCGAGACGUGACUUUUGAUGAGUCUCGUCCUUUUUACCCACGCUCAUCUUCCUCGUUUUUUUCAGUGGAGGAUAUCUCUUUCCUCACUUUUCCUGACUCCCCUAUCACUCCCGUCGCGCCUGUGCCUAUUCGUUCCACUCCCUCUGCUUCUCCACCCCUUGUUGAUUCGCCGCCACCAUCUUCCCCGGUCUCCUCACCUCGCAUGUCACUGGAUUCUACACCUUCAUCUCCGGUGGCUUCUUCGUCGCCACCCCCUGAUUCUACCUUGGUGAUUCCUCCUUCUUUUGUUCCAUCUCUUCCUCAGCAUUACACUCGUCGUUCACGACCUGUGGAUGCUUCCUUGGAUGAGUCGUCCUCUUCCUCUCAGCCUACUUAUGGCUUGCGUUCUCGUCCUCGUCCGCCUAUUGAUCGCUUUGGAUUUCCCACCGCUGGUGCUGCUGUUCUUGAGCCGACUUCUUACCGUCAGGCUGUUGUUCAUCCUGAAUGGCAGUUUGCGAUGGCAGAGGAGAUUGCUGCUCUUGAACGCACUGGUACCUGGGAUCUUGUUUCUCUUCCUCCCGGAGUCCGUCCCAUCACUUGUAAGUGGGUCUACAAGGUUAAGACUCGCUCUGAUGGUUCUCUUGAGCGUCACAAAGCUCGUCUCGUGGCUCGUGGUUUUCAGCAGGAGCAUGGUCGUGAUUAUGACGAGACUUUUGCUCCUGUGGCCCAUAUGACCACUAUUCGUACACUUCUUGCCGUUGCCUCUGCACGCAACUGGUCUAUAUCUCAGCUUGAUGUUAAGAAUGCCUUUCUUAAUGGUGAGCUGCGUGAGGAGGUGUACAUGCAGCCACCACCUGGGUAUUCUGUUCCUGAUGGCAUGGUGUGUCGUCUUCGUCGCUCUCUCUAUGGCCUUAAGCAAGCCCCUCGCGCCUGGUUUGAGCGUUUUGCUUCUGUGGUCACUACUGCUGGUUUUUCAGCAAGUGCUCAUGAUCCCGCAUUGUUUAUUCACCUUUCUCCUCGUGGCCGGACUCUUCUUCUUCUCUAUGUUGAUGAUAUGGUCAUCACUGGGGAUGACCCCGAGUAUAUUGCCUUUGUAAAGGCUCGUCUUAGUGAGCAGUUUCUUAUGUCUGAUCUUGGACCUCUUCGCUACUUUCUUGGGAUUGAAGUCUCUUCUACCUCUGAUGGCUUUUUUAUAUCUCAGGAAAAGUAUAUCCAGGAUCUUCUUGCUCGUGCUGCUCUUUCCGACGAGCGCACUGUUGCGACUCCUAUGGAGCUCAAUGUUCACCUCCGUGCUACUGAUGGUGAUCCUCUCCCUGACCCGACGCGUUAUCGUCAUCUCGUUGGCAGUCUAGUCUAUCUAGCUGUCACUCGUUCGGACAUCUCUUAUCCGGUUCAUAUUCUGAGUCAGUUUGUCUCUGCUCCCACAUCGGUUCAUUAUAGUCAUCUCCUUCGUGUUCUCCGAUAUAUUCGGGGCACGAUCUCUCACCGUCUCUUCUUUCCUAGCUCCAGUUCUUUACAGCUUCAGGCCUAUGCGGAUGCUACGUGGGCUAGUGAUCCUUCUGAUCGCCGUUCGCUUUCUGCUUACUGUGUUUUUCUUGGCGGUUCUCUCAUUGCCUGGAAGACGAAGAAACAGAUUGCAGUUUCCCGUUCGAGUGCUGAGGCUGAGUUGCGAGCUAUGGCUCUUUUGACGGCAGAGGUGACUUGGUUACGGUGGUUACUUCAGGAUUUUGGUGUUUCUGUCACUACCCCGACUAUGCUCUUAUCUGACAGUACAGGUGCUAUUAGCAUUGCGCGCGAUCCUGUGAAGCAUGAGCUCACCAAGCAUAUUGGUGUUGAUGCUUUCUAUGUGCGCGCUGCUGUGCAGGAUCAGGUCGUUGCUCUUCAGUAUGUGCCUUCCGAGUUACAGUUGGCGGAUUUCCUGACGAAGGCCCAGACUAGAGCGCAACAUGGCUUUUAUCUCUCCAAACUCAGUGUUGUUCCUCCACCAUGAUUUUGAGGGGGGUGUUAGAGUUAUAAUAUAAGUCAUGUAAACCCCUUUGUAUUUAUCCCGUUGUAUAAGGGGUUUCCUGCAUAUGUACCACACCUGUACAUGUAUAUAUAUCGGCCUAUGGCCUCAUGGGAAUACAAGUUGCUUAUUCCUAACAAUUUCAAUAUACAGAUUGAAAUGAGUGAACAAACAAAAAAA